rnacentral:lncRNA from 1 species
GUGGGGACGGAAUAGGUCUUCGGAAACUGCGCGUGAACCUGCGUCUCAGCUUCAAAGUCGCCAGCCGGAAGCAGGGCUUCAGAAAAGCCUUGGCACCCUUUAUUGGGGGAAUCGGCUUUAAGCGAAAGCAUCAUUAGCCCCUCAGUACUGAACAACUUCUGGCAGAGGAACGUGGUGACAUUUCAUUAUGAUGUCUAAACUUAGAACUUCUGGAGAAUUUGGAAGGAUACAUUAUUCGAGAAUCAUCCUUUGGAUUCUUCAAAGCCACAGGAUACAUUCAAUUGCCUGAGAAGAAAACAGAACUGCCAGCAGACUAUGGGACAAACGACUAAAUGCCCUCCAGACGUUCCAGAGUCCUCUGCCUCUCAGGCUUCAGUUCUUCCUGAAGGAAUCUGGAGCUGGAAAGCAGGAAGCAAUUUGCUGUGGAAUUUUUUCCAUCACAGACUCCAAGUUCCUCAGCCUUUGGACUCUUGAACUUACACCAGUGUUUUGGCAGGAGCGCUCGG